GAGUUUGAUCCUGGCUCAGGAUGAACGCUAGCUACAGGCUUAACACAUGCAAGUCGAGGGGAAACGAUAUUGGAAGCUUGCUUCCGAUAGGCGUCGACCGGCGCACGGGUGAGUAACGCGUAUCCAACCUGCCCAUCACUUGGGGAUAACCUUGCGAAAGUAAGACUAAUACCCAAUGACGUCUCUAGAAGACAUCUGAAAGAGAUUAAAGAUUUAUCGGUGAUGGAUGGGGAUGCGUCUGAUUAGCUUGUUGGCGGGGUAACGGCCCACCAAGGCGACGAUCAGUAGGGGUUCUGAGAGGAAGGUCCCCCACAUUGGAACUGAGACACGGUCCAAACUCCUACGGGAGGCAGCAGUGAGGAAUAUUGGUCAAUGGGCGAGAGCCUGAACCAGCCAAGUAGCGUGCAGGAUGACGGCCCUAUGGGUUGUAAACUGCUUUUAUAAGGGAAUAAAGUGAGCCUCGUGAGGCUUUUUGCAUGUACCUUAUGAAUAAGGACCGGCUAAUUCCGUGCCAGCAGCCGCGGUAAUACGGAAGGUCCGGGCGUUAUCCGGAUUUAUUGGGUUUAAAGGGAGCGUAGGCCGGAGAUUAAGCGUGUUGUGAAAUGUAGACGCUCAACGUCUGCACUGCAGCGCGAACUGGUUUCCUUGAGUACGCACAAAGUGGGCGGAAUUCGUGGUGUAGCGGUGAAAUGCUUAGAUAUCACGAAGAACUCCGAUUGCGAAGGCAGCUCACUGGAGCGCAACUGACGCUGAAGCUCGAAAGUGCGGGUAUCGAACAGGAUUAGAUACCCUGGUAGUCCGCACGGUAAACGAUGGAUGCCCGCUGUUGGUCUGAAUAGGUCAGCGGCCAAGCGAAAGCAUUAAGCAUCCCACCUGGGGAGUACGCCGGCAACGGUGAA
rnacentral:rRNA from 1 species